GUUUUAUUCAAGGGGGUGGGUGGGGAUCCGAGCUAGUCUGGGUUGACAUUGGAAUUUCUGAUGUCAGGUCCCAGUUGAAGCAGUAUUUUACUUGAGCUGUCUCUGAUGUCAGGGGGAUAGAAAAAAUUCCUGGUGAGCAGGAAGAAGAGUGUAUAAAGGGUAACGGGAUUUGUGUGUAUAUAUACCAUGUGCAGGUCAAGAACCUCAAAGAUGGCUUCUUGGAACUCCUUAUGCUGCUGAUGAAAAGAAAACACUGCCAGACAGAAAGGGGAUCCCACUAUGUUGGCCAGACUGGUUCCCAACUCCUGGACUGAAGCAAUCCUCCUGCCUCAGCCUCCCAAAGUGCUGGGAUUACAGAUGUAAGCCACCACAC
rnacentral:lncRNA from 1 species